UACAAGCUCCUUCAUUCAUGAAGCAACAGUAUUUGUUAAUUAUUAUUUGCCAUAAUACAAGUGAGUAAAAUCAGAGAUGUAAAGGUUUCUAUUUUUUCAUGUACAUUAACUACCAUUUUAUAUUUCACCCCUUCCUCCCUGAGGUACACAAUAGAAAGCAAAGACCUUUCUGACCACCCCAGACUUGGAUCUCUCUUCUCAGAAAAUAAACUGUGAUUCAGCAGCAGCGUGGGUUACGGUGAAGUGUGCAACUGCUUUACUCCCCUUCCUGCCUCCCAGCUCUUUGCCCUCACCGUGCUCUGUCUGCAUCACUGGAGGGCUGUCUCUGAACACUCCCAUCAUGCGUUCACUGGAGUGGGACAACAAAAGGUGAGUACUGAAGGGCCACUGCAGGAAACAGUCUUUCCAAAGCAUUGAAAUUUCUGCCCCCUCCCUGCUCAUGGAGAACUCUGCUGACUCCUGUCACAACCCCAACUGGUGGACCUUCCCCAAAGCAGUAAUGAAUGACACUGAAUCAUACUUCUGGCAUGCUGCUAGGAUAAGGUGGUCAAGUUAGUGACUUUGUAACAGGAUCCUUCUGAGGCAACUGUACCCUUAACUGGCACACCACCAAAUCCCUAUCUUCUUCCCAAAAUGAUGCUUCUACGUGACAUGAUUUGGAGAAGGAAGAUGAACUCAGGUAUUCCACUUUC